rnacentral:misc_RNA from 1 species
UUUCCGUAGGUGAACCUGCGGAAGGAUCAUUACAGAGUUCAUGCCCUCACGGGUAGAUCUCCCACCCUUGAAUAUUUAUACCUUAGUUGCUUUGGCAGGCCGUGGAAACACCAUGGGCUCCGGCUUAUGCGUGCCUGCCAGAGGAAACAAACUCUGUUUUUAGUGAUGUCUGGGUACUAUAUAAUAGUUAAAACUUUCAACAACGGAUCUCUUGGUUCU